UUUGAACUCCCAUCUCUGGAGUUAAUACUGCUCUGGCAGAGGCACAGAUGUCCAACCCUGCGCUCCCUCGGGUUUGUCUGAUGAGGGAUUUAAUGGACAAUGUGUCCUGGGCACUACCCUGAUGGUGUUGCUGGGUUCCUCCACUGCCCCGUAGAUUUGUGGUUGUGGGCCCCGGAGCAUUGGGCCCCCCUGUCCGUUUUUUGGCAAUGGAGCCUGAUGCCUUUCUCCAUGAUAUCGUGGAUAAAUACCUGGUCUUUGUCCGUUUUUUGAUAAGGGAGUACCCUCUAUGGUGGUUUGAGAACAGCAUUCAUUAGCCCAAUGUCUCCCUCUACGGCAUCGUGGGCAAAUACCCGGUAUUCUAUUCCUUUGAUACCUACUUUUGUUAAACCCUCCUCCUAUGGGGCAAUUCCUUUUAAAAUGUCCUGUUUGUUCACAAUCAUAGCAUGUUUUUGGCCUGGCAUCUAAAGCCUGUUGUACUGCAGCUGCCAAGACUUGCCCUUGUUCAUUAAUAUCUCUACAUAAUUUAAUAUAUGUGUUUAAAUCUUCAUGUCUCCAUGGUCUAAUGACCUCUCUGCAGCAACGAUUUGCUUGGUCAUAAGCCAGUUGUUUUAUUAAUGGCAUUGCCUGUUAUGUAUCCCCCAAAAUUCUGGAAGCUGUUUGAAUAAGACUAUCUACAAAUUCAGCGUAAGGUUCAUUAGUUCUCUGUAUUACCUUAGAUAGCUGACCUUGUAAAUCUCCA
rnacentral:lncRNA from 1 species